rnacentral:rRNA from 1 species
AACGAACGCUGGCGGCAUGCCUAAUACAUGCAAGUCGAACGAGAUCUUCGGAUCUAGUGGCGCACGGGUGCGUAACGCGUGGGAAUCUGCCCUUGGGUUCGGAAUAACUUCUGGAAACGGAAGCUAAUACCGGAUGAUGACGUAAGUCCAAAGAUUUAUCGCCCAAGGAUGAGCCCGCGUAGAAUUAGCUAGUUGGUGGGGUAAAGGCCCACCAAGGCGACGAUCCUUAGCUGGUCUGAGAGGAUGAUCAGCCACACUGGGACUGAGACACGGCCCAGACUCCUACGGGAGGCAGCAGUAGGGAAUAUUGGACAAUGGGGGAAACCCUGAUCCAGCAAUGCCGCGUGAGUGAUGAAGGCCUUAGGGUUGUAAAGCUCUUUUACCCGGGAUGAUAAUGACAGUACCGGGAGAAUAAGCUCCGGCUAACUCCGUG